GACGAACGCUGGCGGCGUGCUUAACACAUGCAAGUCGAACGGUAAGGCCCUUCGGGGUACACGAGUGGCGAACGGGUGAGUAACACGUGGGUGAUCUGCCCUGCACUUCGGGAUAAGCCUGGGAAACUGGGUCUAAUACCGGAUAGGACCACUGCCUGCAUGGGUGGUGGUGGAAAGCUUUUGCGGUGUGGGAUGGGCCCGCGGCCUAUCAGCUUGUUGGUGGGGUGAUGGCCUACCAAGGGGACGACGGGUAGCCGGCCUGGGAGGGUGACCGGCCAGACUGGGACUGAGAUACGGCCCAGACUCCUACGGGAGGCAGCAGUGGGGAAUAUUGCACAAUGGGCGCAAGCCUGAUGCAGCGACGCCGCGUGAGGGAUGACGGCCUUCGGGUUGUAAACCUCUUUCAGCACCGACGAAGCGCAAGUGACGGUAGGUGCAGAAGAAGGACCGGCCAACUACGUGCCAGCCGCCGCGGUAA
rnacentral:rRNA from 1 species